rnacentral:rRNA from 1 species
UGGCUCAGAUUGAACGCUGGCGGCAUGCCUUACACAUGCAAGUCGAACGGUAACGGGCCUUCGGGUGCCGACGAGUGGCGAACGGGUGAGUAAUGUAUCGGAACGUACCUUUCAGUGGGGAUAACGUAGCGAAAGUUACGCUAAUACCGCAUAUUCUGUGAGCAGGAAAGCAGGGGAUCGCAAGACCUUGCGCUGAUUGAGCGGCCGAUAUCAGAUUAGCUAGUUGGUGAGGUAAAGGCUCACCAAGGCGACGAUCUGUAGCGGGUCUGAGAGGAUGAUCCGCCACACUGGAACUGAGACACGGUCCAGACUCCUACGGGAGGCAGCAGCGGGGAAUUUUGGACAAUGGGGCAACCCUGAUCCAGCCAUGCCGCGUGAGUGAAGAAGGCCUUCGGGUUGUAAAGCUCUUUCGGCCGGGAAGAAAUCGUAUGGGUUAAUACCCUGUGCGGAUGACGGUACCGGCAUAAGAAGCACCGGCUAACUACGUG